AAGGAGGGGAAGAAGUAUUUUUAGUUUGCUUUUUGUUUCUCACUGCUCUAGUCUGUUAGUCAUAGGCAACAAAUUACACGAAUCUCCCUUCACUGAGUCUGUUUGGACUAUGAUGAUCACUGGUGAGCAAUCUCCCAGUCCUCAUCUCAAAUCUUGAGCCCUUUUUCAUCAUAUUUUCUCCCCCUGUUCCUUUGAGAAGCGGGAGUGAGAGAGCAGCGUGGUGGAGUUCAGCUGCCCAUCAGUGUGAAACCACCACAGCUGUCAGUAGGGACACUUCAAAUUUGGACACACACCCAUCCUUUAAGAUGGAAUCAACACCGGCAAAGAGAAUGAUUCUAGCUGUGACAUAACAAUGAGGAAUGAAUGAAAGAAUGCAGAAGGGAAAUCAAGUGUCCUUAAAACAUUUGAAACUGGGGACUUCCAUGGAAACAGCUGAUACGAUAAAAAAUUGUUCAGUUCUGAAAAUGUGGGAGACAAAAAUACUGCAAAUCUAACUUACACAGACAGAUUAGAGAAAAUAAAUAUUGUUAAAGUAGAUCUUGAUUUUAUGAUGGAAUACGAUAAAUGAGAGGAAUUUCUAUAGAGCACAGCCCUGCAGAGAAGCAGAUCUUCUGAACCACUGAGGUUGGAAUGAAGUGACUCUGCUAACUGGAGUUAAUGGACAUUAACUCAUGAAUGCUAUUGAACAUCAGUGAACUGCUGAAUGCUACAAGAACCAAAGAACCAUGUCUGCUACACUUUCUGCCUGUAGUGUUGCAGCUGGCACAGCUAACAAAUAUCAGCCUGGAGAACUGUCUGAUAGCCUUUGCCACAUAAAAGAAAAAGAGUCCUGUUUCAAGUGAAGUGAAAAACAAAA
rnacentral:lncRNA from 1 species